rnacentral:rRNA from 1 species
AUGACCUCGAUCAGGUAGG